ACGACAGGCUGCUGUGGACGACAGGCUGCUGUGGGAGCUGUCGUCCCCACAGAGCAAUCCGUACCCACGCAUGGCGCUCCCGAUCACGGACACACAUCUCGCAGGGAACAAAGGUGCCUUUCACCCCGGGGCCUUGAGGAGCUGCCACUUGCUGUGGUUUGGCGGGGGAAGGGCCUGCACAGGACGGCUUUGUGCGCCUCGGGGCCUCCCAGGCCGGGGGAGGCCCACGCAGUGUCCUGGGCGGCUGCCAAGCGCCUGGACGGCAGCUCCUCCAGGACAGGAACAGAAUGCGCCCUCACCGUGAGUUGUGAAGAUGGCUGUCAAGUUUCCUAUCUGGAUUUCAACCCCACACCUGCACCGUGAGGUGAAUUACUCCUGCAGUGGACCCUCCCCAGUGGAUCUGUGGACAGGUGGGGUCUGUGGACAGCUGCAGUGGAGUCUGUGGACAGGUGGGCUCUGUGGACAGGUAGGCUCUGUGGACAGGUGGGGUGGGGUCUGCAGACAGGUGUGGUGGGGUCUGUGAACAGGUGGGGGUCUGUGGACAGGUGGGGGUCAGUGGACAGGUGAGGUCUGUGCACAGGUGGGGUCUGUGGACAGGUGCCCUCCUUCCCACUGGGGUCAUGGCUGUGUCUGGCCAGUUGGAGAUUUCCCGAGCCUGGCGGGACAGGGGUUCAGGCCCCCAGGACGUCGAGCUCAGCUGAAGGCAGAUGCUCCACCCAUGGAGCCCCCCAGGUGCCCCUUGAAUCUGCAGGUGUUCGGGGUGGGCGCGAUGGGGGAGGUUGCUGCAGGAGGGUGCUGACGCGAGCUCCGGGCACCGACCGCGCAGGAGCACCCGCUGCAGACACCAGGCCUCCGCGGACCUGACCCCACAGCACGGGUGCAUGGGAGCCCUGGGACUCUGCGCCCACCUGCAGCAGUUACAGGUUUGCCCUGACAGGUGACGCCCCGCGGCCGUCGGAAGCAGCACGCCUUCCACAG
rnacentral:lncRNA from 12 species